rnacentral:lncRNA from 1 species
CAGAUUCGUGAAGAUGGAUUUGAAGAGGGAUGGCUCCUUCCCAUACGUAUUUCUGGGCUUCCGUUGCUGUUUUACUUCCCAUUGACUGAUUCACCGCUCAAUUCUUCUUCUUCCUUCUUCUUUUUCUUCCACAAUUACUCCUCUGACCUCUCUCUCUUUUUUCUGUCGAGCCUCAGGGGGGGGGCGCUUAAACCAGCUGCUCUUCAAUCAGUUUCGUGAUGUCCGGGUUAAACCCCAAAGUUGUCAAACACAAAUAAUCAAAGACUCGGACUAAGUCAAGGAGUCGAGUCUCAUCCCACGUUUCUAAGUUCGCACAGUGGAUCCUUAUUUUUUUAGGACCACCGGUAAGGGCAUGCCCCCCGUAUUUUAGGUGUACAGCGGCUCUUAUAUAUUGCUCAUUAAAACGGACCGUACAGCAUUUCACACACAGGCACUGGUGAUGGGAUUCAAACACAUGAGAAUAUGGCGGUGAUAUUUAAACACAUGAGGACACGUCUCUUGAGACUAUCGAUCGCGCUUAGGCCGCUUAUAAAAAUUCUUAUAAAUCACCUGUCGACGAUGGGAUUCAAACAAACGAAUAUGCGAGAGCAUGUCCCAAAACUACAUGUGCUUAUAAAAUUUCUUACAAAUCACCCAUCAAUAUUGUUUUCAUGUCAACAGUUAAUUCAAGCACACGAUCCCAUUUUCGAAAACACGAUCCGUUCUUAUCCAUUAAAUCAAUUUAUAUUGACAUAUAUCUUUAUUUUCCAUAGACAUCCUUUCUCCCUAGUACUUGCUACAUUUGUUAUUUUUUAACACAAUCUUGCAACAAGAAAAUCAAUUAACUAGGACAAGCCUCGAGGUAUGUUUAAAAUCUUAGGGAAAAAGGGAAUGUACAUACUAAUACUACUAGCACUUAUUGAGUGGUGUGUCAUGUAAUAUGGUGCAAAUUCUUCAUCCACUUCUUGUGAUGAAGUGUUUUCUUAAAUGCACCCCUUGUAGUUUAAAAAUAUUUACUUACACCUCCCGUACUUUGAAUAGAAGCGGAAAACAUGUAGAAACAAACUUCACUGCUGGAGAUUUCAUUAUACACGUUCUACUAAUGCAACUAAAAUUUUUUGAUUCUAACUAUGUGAGGUCUUAAUAACACUAUUUUUCUUUUACAAAUAGUGCAACUAAUUAUUUGAUUCUAACAUUUUUUAUCACCCUUGGUUCUCUCUUCAUCUCUAAUAGCUAGUUUGAGAGUUCAGAUUUCAAAGGAAUAGAAAAGAAAGGAAGGGAAAUGUGAACUUUUCACGUUUGGGAGAUAGAUUUUAGUGAGACGGAAAAGAAAAGAAACGAACGGAUCUUGAAGAGAAGCCAAGCGCUGCUACAGUGCAAAAAUUUUCUGACCAAAACGGGCGGAAAGCGAAGGAAAACUGAUGGAAGCUUACAAAUUUUUUUUUUAUCCUUUCUUGUCUCACAUAACUUAUCCUUUCUCUUCUUUUCUUUUCUAUCCUCAACUCACAAACUAGCUAUAAGGGUAUUUUCAAAAAAAAAAAUUUCUAAAAUUUAACAUUACUCGAAUUUGGCAUAUUUAAUAGUUGUUCGUCUACCAGAGUGCGGUCUGCAGAUUCUGUCAGUAAUUUGAUUAGGAUUAAAAAAUAACAAUAAAAACUUCACUAUAAAAGAGAAAACAACAAAAUUUUAGACCCAAAAAAAAAAAAAAUCGAUCCUAAAAUGGCAAAAAGCCCAAAAUCCAUUAGCCAAUGAAAGCAAAAAUCGGAAGCAAAGGUCGCAAGUAGCAAGUCUCCAUCAUCCUCCUCAGGCCGUCCUUCCUCGGCCAUCUUUGUCAGCUACCAGAAGGAAAGCCUCUUCAAGCACCAAAUUUACACAGACUCUAUCUAUCGCUCUCUCCCUCUCUCUCUCUCUGUAGUUGUAGCAUUUCCAUCACCCCCAGAAAGCUCCCUUAGCUCACAAUCCACAGCCCUCUGCCCCUUCCCCACGCAUCCCAACCCUAGAGUGCCCCAGACAAAUAAGCACAAGGAUUGGAACCCAGAAGUUUGAUUCUUUUUUUGCCGCUUCAAAUGUGAAAAUUAUCAAGAACCCACAUCAGAAAUCACGGAAAUGAUGUUAGGGGCCGUCCAAUUUGGAGUAUUGGCGGCCUGUAUAGUACUCUUUGUACCCAUGGGAAUGGCGGGUUGGCACUUGAGUCGCAACAAAAUGCUGUUUUUUAGCGGUGCCCUUUUCAUUACUCUUGCGGUAGGCGUUCAUCUAACCCCUUAUUUUCCUUCUUUUUCCGCUUUUAUUCCAUCAUCAUCGUCUUUGCCUUCAUCACCAACUGUUGUAGCUUCUUCUGUAAAUCGUGAUUCUUGCAUUUCCUCUUUACACGAAAUUGAAUUUCAUAAUCAAGAUUCUAGAAAUAAUGACAGUACUAGUGAAAAGAAGUCUUGGAAAUGGGUAGAUUCUAAUAAGGGUGUAGUGGAUUGUGAGUUUCAGAAGUUGAGUAAAUCUGAUGCUUCUGAUUUGUUAAACGGGUCGUGGGUCGUUGUUGCUGGUGAUUCACAGGCGAGGUUGAUGGUGGUUUCUUUGUUAGAAUUAUUAAUGGGAUUGGACGAGAUAGAAAGGGUUAGAGGGGAUUUGUUCAAGAGGCAUAGUGAUUACCGCACCACUGUGGACGUGAUCGGGAUGAAGUUGGAUUUUAUCUGGGCGCCAUAUGUUAGUAACUUGACGGAUUUGAUGGUUGAAUUUAGGGAGAAAAGGUACCAUCCAGAUGUUUUUGUGAUUGGGUCAGGGUUGUGGGAUAUGUUACACAUGAAUAAUGCAACUGAUUAUGGUGUUUCAGUGAGCAGGUUGAAGGAUUCGUUGAUGCCACUUUUACCUGUUACUCCAGAAUUUGAAUUUGAGGAUAGGCCGGUAGUAGUUCGCUCACCUCUUAUGUUUUGGCUCAGGAUGCCAACAUUGAUAAACUCGAUUUUGAAUACAGAGGAGAAAAGAGCGAAGAUGACUGAUGCAAUGUGGUAUGCUUAUGAUGAGCAGAUUUACAAAAGUAAGCUAGUGCGGAAUUUUGGAGGACCUCUUUUCUUAUUGGAUAUUCGCUAUUUGAGUAGCAGAUGUGGAAGGACAUGUACAGUAGAUGGGAUGCAUUAUGAUGGAAUUGUUUAUGAAGCUGCUGUACAUAUCAUGUUGAACGCGUUGCUCAUUGAGUCCCAACAGAGGUUGUCGUGAUGCAAUUUUGGUUUAGUUAGUUAAUUAAGGAAACCAGAAGCAUGGAGGAGCAAAAACAUUCUUCCAUGAGUUUCAGCUCUAGUUGCUUCAAUGUUGCAUGUAUGAUUCUUUCAAGCCCACUUCCCUUGAUAUGGGAAGUUUUGUAUUAGUUGUUGGUUUAUAGGUUCAUUUUUGCCCCCCUUGAUAAUUUGUAUCCAUACAGAUACUUACAAAACUUGUAUUUCAUAGUCAAGGAAGCCACUCCUGUAUCUCAUUCAAUUUUGAUGUGAAGAGAUACAAUGAUCUGAAUUGAUGUUUUUCCACAUUAGUUAUGAAUGUUUCUGACACAUACUUGUCAAUUUUAAGAAUUUGAUGUAGAUGCUUUGUUAAAUUACUUCAUUUGAUUCUUGAGUGGUAGUUCUGAACAUGAAUUUUGGGAUGGUGUAACGUCCUCUGUUAAGAAGAAAGCUACACAUAUGCUUUCUGCCAUGUAGUUAGGGUAUCUAACUUUCUCAUUCUCUAUAGUUGGUAAGUUGACAAUGAUGAUACUUCUUUUUUUUCUUACUUAGAGGAUCAAUAGUGGUUCCCUACUUACCCCCGUGAUGAUUCGAACCUGUGACCUAUCAGUUACGGGUGAAACAUCUUAACUAGGCCAUGCUUCGUUGUCAACAAUGAUGAUACUUCUUUUUAAGCAAAUAUACGCCACGUUUUGUUUCAUCCCUGCAUAUUUAUGUGAUUGACCAAGCAAUGAUCUAGGACUAUAGGGUACGCCGCACGAUUGUAGUUCAGUUCAUAAUGAUAUUGUAGAGCAUAUCCUUCCUGCCACAAGCUUGUUCUUCAUCUGCAUCUGAACUUAAGGCUACAUGCUGUCUUUUAUCUCUCCUGUAGUAAAUAAAGAAUUAAUCAAACAGUUAACUCUUCUGCAUAAUGUGUAUGGAAUUAAUCCUGCAUACACCUGAGUUGUAUUUUCAUCAUUCAAAUUCUCUAAUUAACAGAUAUUAGGAAACCAAUGUUGGCAAGCAUCUUCAGUUUACCACUUUACCUAAGCUGUUGCUGGGAUUAUCUUUGGUGCCUCUUGCUUGCUUGUGGUUGGUUCUAUAUUGAAACCUAUUGUGACAGGUUUUGCUGUCAAUUCUGCAGUCAAUGGCUGCCACUGAAUUAUGUUAGGUAGAACAUCUAUCUUGGAUUUUCAAAAAACACAAGUGCUGAGCUUGAACCCACCUUUUCAUGUCAAUGCAUCACUCACUUGUCCAGUGAUAUUCUGUAAUUUGGCUGAGAAGUGACAUUCUAAGAAUAACCAUUUGCAAAUCCCCAGGAGUUUUAUCUCCCUAUUACCUUGGACCAUGGAUUGAAGGGUGAUUUUGAAGAUAGCUGCUUAUGUAUGGUGUUAACAGAAUAAGUAAAAGAUAAUUGUGUCUAUCAACAAAGAGAGUAAAAUUUUUAAAAUAAAAAUAAAAAAGCAUAUCAUUUGCUAGGAUAGGAAUGGUCCUUAAUUUCUUAUGGUAAUUCAUGAUCAUCCAGUUGAUCUAUUGAAUAGUGGACCAGAUUCAGUGUAAUAGAACUGAUGUAUAAUCACUCAGUUGUAUUUGGUUAGGUUUUAGGAUUCAGUGGUCAGGAGAACUGAAUAUUUAGCUGAAGCAGAUUGGCAAGUCGAAGCCUUUUUCUAUGGGAUUUUAGAAUUGGCAAGAAACUAUAAUGGUAUCAAGCAUUAGGUGCAAAUACGAUUGAUUGAAUAGUUAAAUUAUGAACCUAUUAUUUGUUUCUCACCAGCAGUAGAGAACUGAUUAUUUGAUGAAGUUGUAAAUGGAUUGUUUGUGUAUGUAUUGAUUCUGUCCUUGGACUUUAGAACACUGGAUUAAAGCAGUAAUAGGAAGUUCUUAGAUACGCAAGAAGAAAGAAGGAUAGGAGGAGGAUAAUAUGUAGGACUACAAGGCAAUACCAUGUUAAUAGUCUUGCCUCUAAAUCUUGGCCUUGUUUGGCAAAUGAGUUUAAAAUUUUCCAGAUUCUCAGUGAGGUGAGAACCAUUAAACUUCUGUUAGGAGAAGACUGAGGUCUAGUUAUUACUCCAAUAAUGCGUCAAUGCCAAAAGGUGCUAGUUAAGGGACCGAUGGAGUAUUGAUCAGCACAGAUUUUGUUAUCAGGGACAACCACCAUCUGAAGGAAAAGGUCACCUUUUUUCAUGAACAAGCAUCAAAUUUUGGACUUCAACAUGGAGCCUGUUUAGUUUGGCAUUCGUCAAGCUUUAGAAGGAUGGCAAUUUCACAAACUCAAUUGUAACCUAUUUUCUUCUUUUAUCAUUUUAACUUGUUAACUUUUGAACAGUUGAAUGAAUUAGCAUAUGGCAACUUUGCCUCGAUCUGCAGCGUGUCUUCAUUACUUUUAUCAGUUUAUACUGUUUAUAUUCAUUGGGCUUUGCACUUAGCAGCAACUGAUAGACAAAAUUCUCUUUCACUUUUUGCAUGGCAUGUUAAGAGAAGUCUUUUGAGGUUCAUCGUUGAUCUCGAUACUGGCAUAUAGCUAUCACAAAGUGAAGGCAAACAAAUUUAUAACUUCCACUUGGCGACAACAGUUUUUUUUUUUUUUCCAAGUCUGUUGUGGAAGUGAAAAUAGACUGCUACACAGACAGCUUGCUUGCUCUCUUCUCAUUUUCAAGCUCCAUGCGGUGCUCGAAAGGUGCCCUCCAAUAAAAGUGAAUACAAAUUCCGUUGUACAACAUAUUUUGCCCUCAAUGAUGAUCCAACACCAUUUCCAAACCCCUAGCCUUGCCCCUUCCUCAAAUUAAACCUCAUUUCGGAAAAAGAAAGAGCCACCAAUACACCUCGUACUCCCUACCUUUGAUUCAGGAGAGGGUCAGCAAUAACAAUAUUAUCUUUUCGUUUCAGACAGGUUCUACUUUCAAUAAUCAAACUGCUUUCCUUCAAACGUCUGCCCAUAAUUCCAGUCCUUUGGAGCGACACUGUAAGAUGCAAGGGUCACUCCAUCACCAUUGGUAAGCUCAAAUGAGAGAGGUUGAUUCUUCAAAUCAGCAUUUAUGUGCCAAUUCUGCCCCCAGUUCCUGCCCAUUGGAAGCCAUCCGGUUCUUGAGCCUUUGAUUUUCACAGCAGCUAUGUCUCCAGCACCUGCAACAUUGCUGAUUAACACUGAUAGAAAUAUUCCAGCACCAUUAACUGCAAAACGAACCCCUCCUUCCUUUCUACAUUUGACCCUGUUCAAGUAAGAAGAAAAAAUAAGCAUAUGACUGAAAAAAUCUUAUCAAGAAACCUCUAUCUCGUUAUAGUUCUAUAUAAAGGAUAUAUAGUCAUAGAGGAUGCUUUUACAUUUUUUAACUAACACACUCUCUCCCGUUUCUUUUUGCCAAGCACCUCUUAUAAGUGUAUGGUACCAUAACUACCAGAUACAAGAUGUGCCAUGGUCAACAGGAUAAACAAAACCCCCAAAAAAAGAAAAGAAAAGAAGAAAAAAAGAAAAAAAAAAGAGGAAUCCUUUGCAGCCAGUCAUGUUUGUACUUUUACCUUUGCAUUUAUAUUACAACAAGCAUAAAAAACUUGGCAAAUUAAUCAACACCACACCGUGUGACAAAUUGCUUCUUGGUGCAAAAAGUAUGUUGAUAAGAGGGCCUAAAAAAGAUUUUCACAGCUGACAACUUAAAGAAACAGCAAGGUGUUGAAAUGAAGCUUCAAUCAUAUCUGGACCAUACUUCUUCUAUAAUACAACUUUUACCAACACUACAGCACGCUUAUACCUUCCAAGUCUCAAUUCUCCUCUGCUACCUUAGUUAACCUCCCAACACUCCCAAAUCAUAUCUGGGCACACUUUUCAGGUAUCGUGUCCAGAUUACCUACUUUCAAGAACUUAUUUAAGUUUUUUUAAGAGCUAAAUUUCUGCAUAUUCAAAAGAAUAAUUCGAACUAGUGAAAAAAAAUCUCAACUAAUUUCUCCAGACGUUUCAGAACAGAGACUACAAAGAAUUCAUUAAGCCCAAAGUAGUUUUCUAAUAAGUCCUGUAUCUCUCAGACUCACCAGAGACUACAAAGGCUUCUAUAUUCAAGAUUAAAGAGAUUCUACAAGAAGCAACUUGAAGCCCUCUAAGUAAUCAUAUUUCACUUACCGUGUUCAUAUCAAAAAUUUUAUGCCAUGGACAUAUUGAAAAAUCUCAGAAGUUUCAGAUGAUAUAUCAUCUUCCAUUGACUUUCAAGUUUCUCAAGUCUUUCUCAUGAGUUAUUAGCCUACAAUUUUUAACGCCCAUAAUUUCAAAAAAUCAGUCCAAUUGUUUCAACAUACUCCAUGUACUAAUUCAACAGGCAAUAGCUACAAUAAUCUUUUCUGAUAUCCUGAGUUUAUAAUCACAAUGAUUACCCAGAAAUUUUUAGUCUUUCAGCAUUAAAGGAUGUUUAGAGUUUGCACUGAAUAAAAUUUGACUCCAAAUUUCAUACUUUCUGUAGUUCAAUCACCUUAUUACAUGCUAAAUAAGAUCUUUACAUCUUUAGUUCCUUUGGCAUCCCGUCAAAUUACAACUCUAAUCACAAAAAUCAUUCUAUUUCACCUUGUUGAAGCAAACUUUGUAAGGCUUUCUGCUGCAUACAUCAGAUAGCUACACUAGUCAGUCACCGGUCCCACAUCCAUUCUCCAUUGUAAAGAUGAUUGUGGUUUCACAUUAACAUUGGACCGGGAUGGAAUCUACAUGUCACAUCCAAAACAACAAACGUAGACAAAAUAGGUUAUUCAUUUGUUUGUGCCAUGUUAAGUUUUCUAGAUUAAGAACAUAAGUCACAUAUAUUUCUAAUUUUAUGCUCCUGAAGACCCUAAAAAAAAAAAAGCAAUAUGAAAUAAAAACAAACCAACACUUUACCAACUAUUUAUAAAAUUAAAAAAAAAAAUUUGUUUACAGAAAAGGCCUGAAAAAAUAGAUGCAGCUACAAAUAUACCAUUACACGAGUAACUCUAGCUCAACAAAAAAAAAUAGCAGGAAAGAAAAGGAGAAUUCAGCUAAAGAAUCAAGUACACAAACUCGAUACCUGCGAUACUGAAUGGGCAUAUUGGAAGCCUUCCAAAUGGCAAUUUUCUCAAAAGCUUCAAUGGGAAGCACAAAAUGUGCAUUAGGGAAAUUACAAUGUCCUCCACCAUCAGCUUCAAACCCAUAAUUCGGAGCACAAAAGUUAGUCGCAGUAACAAUAAUGGAAGUCCCAGGAAUACACCAUCUCAGGUCCUCAACACACCUAACUUGAAAGCAAGCUCCACAGAUCUGACCCUUUUCAAACAGGACUGUACUGAGUGCAGCUGUGGCUUUCCCGUAUCCCAUUUUCUCCAGGUCCCCAUAACCACAAGCCCCACCAACCGGGUCUCCCGGUUCCGCGGCGGCGUAGUAGGUGGCUCUGGCGGAUCUCCACUCUGUGUAGGAGGAGGGGGUGGAGGAAGAAGGGGAGUAUUGGUAGUGGGAGCGGACUAGCUGGGGUAGGGAGGAGAGUAGCGUGAAUGCUACUGUGACUGUGACUAGAGUUUGAAAGAGUAAAGUUGGUGGCAUCUUUGUCUUGAUCUUGAUGGGGGUGAGUGAAGGAGCGAAGCUAUCGAAGACAAUAUUUGAUUUGCUCUUUCAAGUUUCUAUACCUAGUCGCAUAUUGUUCUUGGGAGCUGUAUUUUCUCCUUUUAUGUUCUCCUCUUUUCUUGAAAUCUUAAACUAAAAUAAUUAUGAGAUCUUUACAUAUUAAUUUAUAAAGAGGACGGGUGUAAAUCUCUAGAUCAGAUAAGUGCGCUGCUGCAAUCUCUGAAUCUUUAAAAAAAAAAAAAAAAACCAAGCAUAAUACUUCUUAGUAAUAUACUACUAGGCUGGCUUUGAAUCUCCAACAUAGCAUGAUGGCGUUACAGCAAAGCCGAAUGAUUGGAAGUUGGAACUGCUGUCACUAUUGUUAGUUGUAAGGUACGACAACUAUGUACCUGCGUGCAACAGGUACAAGUUAAUGCCAGCCAAUUCAUGUUCAUGGCAGCCACCCUUUGAGGCAGACAACGGGUGAGAAAUUUCACAUUUGAGAAAUUUAUGUGAUCUGUUCACAGUUAUUUGCUUUUAAUAUUCAUGUGGGAAAUUUAUGUCCAAAUUAAUGAGUAAAGAAAUCAUUUUAACAACUGUGAACUCACAUAUGUACCAAAUAGGAGUGCAAUCAAGUCAAGCUGCUCACGGGUAGCUUGCGGGUGGCUUGAUCAAAAGUUUGGCUCAAAUCGAGUUCGAACUCGAGUUCGAACUAUUCGUUACAUUCAACGAGUCAAGUUCGAGUUUCAAAAAUAAAUACUCGAGUGCUCGACGAGUUUAAUCAAGUUUUCAUAUUAUAUUUAUAUUAUAUAUUUUGAGAAAAUAUUUAUAGGUUUAGUUCAAAGCCCAAGCUCAAGCUCGAGCUCGAGUAGAUCGGGCUUGAUAUUUACUCGAACUCAAAUGAGUCGAGGUCGAGUUUAAUUUUAUUUUAUCGAGUCAAGCUCAAAUCCAAAUUUAUAUACUCGUUUGAGCUCGAGUAACACUAAUUAUGAUCGAGUUCGAGCUCAAGUAUGAUGCUACUCGAGCUCGACUAUGCUCGAUAGCACCUCUAAUACCAAAUACCUGAAAAUGAUGGAAAAUAUUUUCAGCCCAAUCAAACAGACCCCAAAGCUUGUACAUUUUCAACUGAAUCCCUUGGCCUGACAGUCAUCGCAGUUGGGGAAUUGAUCGACUUUUAAGGCCCAAAAGAACAUUGGGCUUGACAAGUUUGCACGUAACUAGGGAUGUUCUCGAAUCCUUCUUGCACGAGUGCCUAUUUCUUGAUCGUCUAAUAGUGGAAGUCAAACGAUUUGAUUAGUCUAGCGACUUCUGGUUGGUCUCUUUUAUUGCAGCAUUUGGAGAUAACCCGUUAUGCUCAAAUAGAAUCCAUCACGGUAGUCUGCAGUAAGGAUGCAAACGAGUCGAGUCGAGUCGAGUUUUGAAUUAAUUAGAUCGAAUUUCCAGUUAAUUUUAUGAAUCUCGAACUCAAGUUCAACUCAAUUCGAGUCCCUCGCGAUUGAUUCACGAGUGGUUCGAUUCGUGAGCACCCCUGAUCUGCGGGUGGGGCAUCACUUGAAACUAUUAAACCUCAUCCACAGGCUUCAGUUGUGCUUGUGGAUGGAAGGAAAUGUUUCCGGAAAGUCCAAAGGUCCAAUAACUCCCCAUUUCCUGCCGCUUGUUGAAACUGGAGGAUCUUUAGACUAAUCAUGGGAAUUCUCAAAUUGACUAGUCCAUGAAUAUGUAGACAGAUGCUCCUUCCUACUAGGUCCAUGAAUAUUUGGACCCAUGCAAUAAUAGAAAUCACGUAGCAACGAGCAGCUGCCAGACUAUCUGGAGAGCAUGUGUGAAUCAUAGAAUGCUGCAGCACUUUUUGUUUUGUUGAGAACGAGAGCCUAGACAUAAAUAUGUAUGUUCUUAUUUUGAAGAAUUAUCGUAGAACUUUUUAUGAUAUAAUAAAUGUAUGUAAAAUAAAAAAGAUAGUUAGAAAGAUGAAAAGCGUGCUUGUAAUACAAUCAAAAAAAUUACUUGUAAAUAAUUAUGUUGUUGGAGUAUUUUAAUAAAAUAAUUAAAUUCUCAAUUAAAUGUGCAUGUUACAAAGAAAAUAACCUAGUAAAAUUUUCUACAACUUAUAGGUGUUUUAAUGGUUUUGAAUAAAGACUUAUUAUAUGAAAUUAUGGCUUUUCAAUUUCAUUGAGAUUUUGUAUUUUACAAUUCAAAUUUGAAUUGAAUGGGUGUUGACUAAAGAAUUAUUAUGUGAGAUUAUGAUUUUUCAAUUACAAUAAGUUUUUGUAACCUACAAGACAAAUUUCAAUGUGUUUUGAAUGGCCAAUAAUUUUAGCAUUUACUUGGUGUUUUAUUAGUAGUAUAGGUUAUGUUUGUCUAACUUUUCUUCACCUAUAAAUAUGCAUAAUUGAGAUGGAAAAAUACUACUAGUACAACUUAUAUCUUGUGAGUUUAAAUUCACUAUUUUCUAGCUCAUAGUUAGACAAUAAAAAAGGUGUUCGUAGAGCUAAACUCUUCUAGUUAUGCAGUCUAGAGAGAGUGUCAGCUGGUGUGGUUGGGGUGUUGUAGCAUGGGGGCGACAAACUGAAAAUUCUGCUGUACAGGAAUCGAUUUUUUCGCAGAAACUUGAAUCAUCUUAAAGAAAGCGAAAUAUCCAUACCUAAACCCUCCACAUUUAUGCAUUAUUAUAUUAUUAUUUUAAUUAUUGUUAAUUUUAUUAUUAUUAUUAUAAAUAUUGUUGAUUUUGUUAUUUAACAUUUCUAUUUUUAUUCUGGUGGAACAACAUAUGUGUAUCCAAACAUAUUUGUUUGUGAGCGUAAUAAUUGCAUUGAUCCCUAAGACAUACUGAACCUCGUGAAUAUUGCUGUUAAUCUCUUUUAUAUUGCUGUUAAGACCAAACAAAUACGACAGGUAAUUGCACAAGUGCAUGCUUAUAAAGAAUGAACACAUGAAUUUACGUGAUUAAGAAACUGCAUCAUAUGGACAUGAUCCACUUAGGUCAAUUUCACCAAUCACUUCACAAAAACAGGUAUACUGUACAUGGGACCCCAAGGUUCGGCAGGUGUAGCUCCCACCGCAAUGAGCUUGACUUUUUAUUUGCCGCAGAUCCAAUUAAUAAUGAUUCAUUUAUGGAUGCUCUUAUCUGCAAAAGGUGUAAAAGUAGAGAAAAUAAAGAAAAUCAGACGCACGUGAUUAGAUAUAUGAAGGUUUUCUUUCAUUAGAUUGCUUCACUAUUGUCCUCUAUCUAUGCACAUGAUUGCUCCCUAUUUAGGUUUGUUUGCACGUAGUAGUAUUAUUUAAAAUAUUAUUUACAAUAAUUACUUUUUAUGAUACGAUAUAUGUGAGAUAAAAAGAUAGUUAAAAUAUAAAAAAAGUGGAUUGAAAAAUAUAUUUAUGAUACAAGCGAAAUAUUAUUUAAAAAUUUGCUAUCCCAACACUCUGAUUGUAUUAUAGAAUAGAAUAAAUGGAAUCUUUUACUCUUUUUAAUGUAAUAAGACAAGAUUAUGCAAACCCCAAACGAAGGGAAAUUUAGACCGCUGUUUAUUUCUAUCGGGUUGGACCAUGAAUUGGAUUGUGAUUUUUUUGCAAAAGAAUUUUACGUUUUUUGUGAGUAUAUUUUUUUAAAUAUCUUUCUAUCUUACAUACAUUAAAUCGUUACCAUACUUUUUUUUUUUAUAAAAACUUCUAAAAAUAGCAAUUCAAACGAGUUUGAUCUUUUGCACAUGACUGCACCAAACACUUGAUAGGUUGAUUAAUUUGAGCCCCAAAGUGUCUUAAAUGGGCUGCUAAGUACCCCUUUAAUCCAAAACAUUCGCAUCAAUACUAAAGUAAGACUGCUUGGGGGCUUAUCUUAAUAGCCCACAUGAACAAUCACAUGUAAAAUGUGUAAUCUUUGCAUGGAUUAGGCAGACGCGGUGACCUGUGCUAGCUUCCAAAGCUGUUAUCUUUAGUAGAGAUGGUAUUUCCAUUGAUUAAACAAGCUCCUAACAAAAUUUGACAAAAAUAAUUAGUUCCGUUUUCUCAGAAGUCUGUAAACAGACGGUAGUUUGUGUUUAACGUGUAAGUGUAGCAAAUCGCAAUGUACCUAAUGUGCUCAAAUUAAUGAUCGUGGACGAAAUUUUUUUUUUUUUUUUUUGGGUGCUUUCUUGAUCUCCACUAGGAACCUAAUUUGAGUAGCAUGGUGAGUGGAAAUCCACCUGCUGACGAAAAAUUGGAGAAAACAUUUGUAUUGUCGUUGCUGUAGAAUUGACAACGGAUAUAUGGAAGAGCUCAAGAAGUGGAGAAAGAUUCCAUAAUCUUUGAAUGAUGCUAGUGGUAGAAGGUAGAACUUGUGUUGUAAGCUCAAUUUUUUAAGCAAUGGAAUACGCAAAUAUGGAACUGUUUUAACUUUUCCUCUUCAGGAGCCCAACAUUUUUUAACAUUUGUUAAAUAUACGCAAAUAUAAAGAAGGUCGAAUAUUUUCACUCAUUUAACAUUUGUGCCUAGACUUUAAAAGAAAAUGAAUAGAUUUAUGCGCCCAACAGAAAUUGAAUGUAUGACUGAAAAAUGAACUAAACUAUAUUUGAUAUUUGAGUUGAGUUCGACGCGUCAUAAGAACUAGAUUCAAAUUGGUUCACUAAUUAAUCAAAUCAAAUAUAAAACAUUUUUCUGGAUUUCGUAAACUUUCGAACUCAACUUGAAUUUAGCUCGAUAAGCCAAAAUUUGAUAUCUUCAUAUAAAAAUUUCAAAGCUACCCGAGUUUGAUGUGAACUAAGUUUGACUAAAACUUGUUUAAGUUUAGCAUAAUAAAUAAAUAAGUUUUAAACACCAAAGUGCACCAUUUGAUUGGACACUACUGUGUCUCUAGUUUAGUUUAAAUAAUGAUUAAAGAGAUGAGUUGAACGAGACAGAGGAAAGAAUAUAAGAAAAAGGUUUUAAAUUCGAAUUCCCCGCUUACACUUAAAAAAAAAAAAAAAAAAGGGGUAAAAAUAUAAUGAAGAAAGUUUUCAAACUUUUCAACGUGGCUAAAAAUAUUGAUGAAAUGGGCCCUUAAAUUUUCUUUCUUUACGAGUUCUAAACUGGAUUAAAGAACCUGAAGACGUGGGUUCCGAAAAUGUCCAUUAUUGGGAAAUGAAAGGGAUUUGCGAAAUCAUGGCCUGCGUGUGCUUAUUCGCUGCCUAGCAAUUUGUGAAGUUAUACACUAACAUGUGAACGAUAUUAGACACGUCAAAAGCUAUUCUGGAUAGUGUUCCACACAGUUCUUUCCCAUAAACCCCAGUUUCAAUUGACAAAUCCAUCACCAUGGCAUAUUGAUUAUGAAAGGAAAACGAACACAUGGUCUCCAAAAAAAAAAAUUUUUUUUUUAAAAAGAAACAACAUUGUCAUUACCUAUAUAUAAUUUUUUCGACACUAAUUAAAAAAAAAAGGAUUAUAAAUAGCAAGUAUAUAGAUCUGAUUAGAUUAAAAGGAUAAUCUGACAUCUCUUUUGUUUAUUGCAAAUGCGAUUCGAAUCUUUAAUUUAUAAUUUAAAAAGAAAUUUAAUCCUUUUUUUUUUUUGUGCCAUUGAGCUAAAGCUCAGUGGUUGCCAUUACCUGUAUGUAUGAUGGGCAGAAGGAAAAUGAGCAUUAAUGAAAAAGUCCAAGUGAGCUGCAAGAAGAGUCAGAGCUAUGGCAGUCUUCUUUCUAACAAGAAUUGUAUACGGCAAGAGCAGUUCUUUUUGGCUGGUACACCCACCCACCCACCCUUUUCAACCUCAAAUUACGCGAAAUAAGAGGGGGGGAAAGGGGCUAAUCAAACAUGUGUUUGUGGGAAUACCGGUCUUUUUUUUCCUCCCUCUCCUUGCUAAUUAAGAAUAAAAAAUUCACAGAGUCCAAAGUUUGCAGGAGGGAUCCAAAUAUUAGUACUGUGUUACUGCUAAACUAGAUUCCUGUCCUAUUUGUUGUGAUUUGCUGUGGAGGUGGUGCCUAAUCCACUUUUGUUGAUACGAAAUACAAGGUCCAAAUUUCGCCUUCGGCAACCUAAUGAUCCGAUGUACCUCUUUUAACUCUUGGCGUCCGUUCAAUUUCAUUAUGUUGUCUAAUCUGAUUUUUGCUGUCUAUCCUUUGCCAAAUCGAGAUACAUGUUGUGUCAAACAAGGUUUUCAAAAUCGGGAUCCUACCUGGGAUCUUUUUUUGGUUUGUAGGAUCGGAUCGUAGAAUCGGUAGAUCCUACAAAAAAUGUAAUAAAUUAUCAUAUUUAUAAUUUUUAAGUUUGCAAUUCAUAAAUAUAGUAACAAAUAAUGUAAUUCAUGUGCAAUCAAUAUAAUUAUAUUGUUAAUUAAGGUUAAUUCAUUUCUAAAGGCUCUAAACCAUAUUAAUUUAUUAUAAUAAAAACACAAAACACUAAUUCCAUGUGAUAACCUAUAACAAAGAUCAUUUAUUCACUUUAGUGAAUCAUAUGAGUCAAAUUUAAAGAUUCAUCAAAUUUUCUAGAUUUGGAAUUGGGCUUAAUUAUUUACAUGGAUUUAAAGUACUCUGAAUAUAGUUUACAACGCAACAAACGACACUCAAUUUCAAAUUUUCUACACAAAGAUAUAAUCAAAAUACUAAAAUUAUUAUUUAAUUUAUUAAAAAUAAUAGAAUUGUAUCAGGAUCGUAGAUUGGAUCGUUAGUAUUGAUCCGCAUCGUACGAUCCUCCUAACAACUAUGGUGUCAAAAGCCUGCACCAAAAAUUGAUAGUGCUUAGGAAACCACUGAGGACUCCCUCUCAACCCACCGAAAAUUCCAAAGCCUGGGAGACAAAUUAGGUAGUUUUGAUGAGGAAAUUAUGAGACACAAAAAUCCGAGGUUCGUGCUUGUACGUAUCUACCAAAAGAUCUUUGGCCUCUCAUUUUAUGGAGGAAUUUAUUGUGGCCGUUUAGUUUCCCUUUCAUGGCUCCUUUCCUUUAGGGUUUUGUUCGGACAAAUUGAUUGCACCUGCGUCCCUAGCAAUUUAUCACACAAUUAUGAUUUAUGUUUCCUAAUUCGUAAUGUUAAAAUAAUUUCCUCACAUGUUUUUUCAACACACCUUUCAAUUUUUUUUCCUAAGAAAAAAAAGAGUAAAAUGGGCUGAGAGAUUCUCAACAAACCACAAUGUAAUUUUAAAAUGAGAGUAAGGACGACUGAUUAAUGAUUUGAAUUUGGUACAAAAACCAAAUGAAUACGUAUAGACAAAACCUGCAAUAGAUGUACGAGUAACACGGGAUUUUCUUUUGAAAAGAAAAGAGCUUAUCAACAUCAAGACAGAUAUGAAAUCCAGUACUAGCGCUGUUACAAACAACAAGCAACCUAUUAACUUUGUUACUAAUGUUUUCAAAUUCAGAUUGAACUACUAGAAAUCGGUCAAGCAUCCGGUUCGAAUCUCCCCUAAAAAACGAAUAUAAAAAAUUCGGUCAAUUUUAAUCAAAAAUCAGAUUCAACCGGACUACAAUCUUGAAACUGAAAGAGGGAACUCUUACAAUUGGACCAAACUAGGGGUAUGCCAUAAACAAUUUCUUAGUAUUUGAGAACUCGGGCCUUCUAACCAACUCCUCUAGAGGGAGUUGGCCACCAUAUUAAUUGUAGGAUGGGAGGUCAAGGAUUCAAACAUUACCUUUCAUCAAUCAAUGUGGCUCAAUACGAGAUUGUCCUAAAUUUAUACAGGUGUGUGAUGCAUCCGUUUAGUCUGAUAGUGAUUCAGUUUCCCGUCAGAUUUUCCUGUGAUUCAGUUCCAUAGGGUAGGUUCCUCCCUUAAAAGUUAAAAGUUAAAAGUUAAAAAUAGGAGAGGGUUAGACUAGAUUAGAUUAAAUGUGCUGUUACGGCGAAAAGGUUCUCACCACAAUGCCACCUGUCAGUUCACGAAAGCCUUCAAUGCAUCCGCAUUUUUUCACCAGAAUAAAAGAAACAACCUCAACUUUCCCUUCCAUUCAAAAUCCAGGCAAGCAGAAAUAAAAACUUGUGGUCACAAAAAUUUCACAUUCUUUAAUCAUCUCCCCAACAGUCCCUGCCAUAUGUUUGUGGUCCAGAAAGCCCUCAUCCACGUCUAAAAAUAGUCUUCAAAUUAGCCCUUUGCCUUCCCCCCUCUCUCUCUCUAAAUAGCAUUAAUCAAGUACACGUGGAGGGCUCGAGAAAUGAGGGGCGGCGAGUGGUGUUGACGUGGCGAAAAGUGCAAAAAGAAAGUUGAAAGUCACACCUGAGAAGGAAAGAGAGAGAAGAGGAGAAAGGGCAAGAGAGAGGUGGAGUGGACUAAAUACUAAUGGCCAACAAGAAAUGUACUACUCUCCAACUUACUAGAUGACAUCUCAUCAUUAUCUCAUCCUCAUCCCACAAAACAGACCACACCCACACUUUUUUUUCUUUAUUGUAAUCCACAACUCUUGGCUUCCCAAAUUUCUCUCCUUCUUUUUUUCUGGAUUAUUUAUUUAUUUAUUUAUUUUUGUGAUUCUAUAUUUUAGAGGAUGCAGAUAUUUUGGGAAUUUUUCCUAGUCACAAAAAAAAUAUCCAUGUCCUUGAUUAUUGCAGCAAAUAUUUUGUGUGGGAUUUUUUUUUGUGUCCUCCUGUUCUAGGCUUGUGGACAGGUGGGGUUCACACUUCACACUAUACGACGUUUUGAUGUUGGGGGCUUGCACUUUGUCAAAUGGGAUUGGACGUGGGAAUUUUUAUACUUUACUUUUUUUUUUUUUUCCCUCUCUCUCUCUCUCCCCCUCUCAGCAUCUGUCCAAUUAUGCAUCAAGUUGCAAUCUAAUAGUAUAAAGUUAAAGUACAUCAGGUUUUGUGGUAUUUUUCAUGCUUAUAUAUCUAAUCUAGGUUUAUAUGCGGAAGAAAUAAAUUAUACCAAAGGAAGCAACAGUCGGUGGUAAAGAAAGUAGCUUUAUUUGGUUUAGAUGCUGUCAAAUUAAAAGUUAUCUACUUAAAGGGCUUUUCAUGUCAAUUAAAAUAAGUUUUACUUUCCAAUCAUAUGACGCGUUACAUUUGUAAUUGAUUCGCUAGAAUUGACUACUUAGGCGCCUUUGAAAAUUGUGGUUUCAAUUAUAAAAACUCAAUAUGAUUGGUCAACCUAAUUUGAGCAAGAAUAUAAUAUUUAACCACUACUAUAGUGUCGCAUUUACAAAUGAAUGAUGCGUAUUUAUUAUGUGAGUCGGCCUUGUUUGAAUUGUGAUUUUCUAUAGAAAAGUUUUUAUAAUUUCUGUAAAUAUAUUUUUAAUCAAUUUUUUAUUUUAUAUAUAUUAAUAUAUUUUGUAUAUAUUAAUUUUUUAAAAAUAAUAAUCCAAACGAGAUGGGUAAAAUACGACCUGACCUUAAAGAAGAGUGAAUUUUCACAUUUUGACUAUUCAUUGAAAGGGAAAAUACUCAAUUUGAUUACGAAAAACAUACUCCACCUCUGAAUUAAUUAAUUGAAGGGGAAAAAAGGGGAAAGAAAAGAGAAAAAGACAAACAAACAGUAAAUGAAGGCCCUGUUUGGCACUUGAGUUUUUUCCCAAGUUUGUCAACUAUAAAUUUUUUAAAAACUUUAAUUACAGUAAACUCAAGAAAUUUUUUCAAGUUUUUAAACUAUACGUUUCAAAAUAUUCAAAAAUUUACACACUUCAAAAAAUUUUUUAAAAAUUUCUACAAUAAAUUACAGUAAAAUUUUAAACAAAUAUUCAAAAAACUCACUUGCCAAGUAGAGCCGAUGGCUCGAGGUUUCAAGCUCCAAAUGCCAACUAGUGCCGUACUCU